rnacentral:rRNA from 1 species
GUGAACGCUGGCGGCAGGCCUAACACAUGCAAGUCGAGCGGCAGCGCGGGGGCAACCCUGGCGGCGAGCGGCGGACGGGUGAGGAAUACAUCGGAAUCUACCCAGUCGUGGGGGAUAACGUAGGGAAACUUACGCUAAUACCGCAUACGACCUGAGGGUGAAAGCAGGGGACCGCAAGGCCUUGCGCGAUUGGAUGAGCCGAUGUCCGAUUAGCUAGUUGGUGAGGUAAAGGCUCACCAAGGCGACGAUCGGUAGCUGGUCUGAGAGGAUGAUCAGCCACACUGGAACUGAGACACGGUCCAGACUCCUACGGGAGGCAGCAGUGGGGAAUAUUGGACAAUGGGCGCAAGCCUGAUCCAGCCAUGCCGCGUGUGUGAAGAAGGCCUUCGGGUUGUAAAGCACUUUUGUCCGGGAAGAAAAGCCAGGGAUUAAUACCCCCGGGUUCUGACGGUACCGGAAGAAUAAGCACCGGCUAACUUCGU